rnacentral:rRNA from 1 species
ACUCCUACGGGAGGCAGCAGUGGGGAAUAUUGCACAAUGGGCGCAAGCCUGAUGCAGCCAUGCCGCGUGUGUGAAGAAGGCCUCGGGUUGUAAAGCACUUCAGUCGUGAGGAAGGUAGUGUAGUUAAUAGCUCGCAUAUUUGACGUUAGCGACAGAAGAAAGCACCGGCUAACUCCGUGCCAGCAGCCGCGGUAAUACGGAGGGUGCGAGCGUUAAUCGGAAUUACUGGGCGUAAAAGCGCAAUGCAGGUGGUUUGUUAAGUCAGAUGUGAAAGCCCGGGGCUCAACCUCGG